rnacentral:rRNA from 1 species
UACAGAGGUCCCAAGCGUUGUUCGGAUUCACUGGGCGUAAAGGGUGCGCAGGUGGUCGGGUAAGUCUGACGUGAAAUCCCGCAGCUUAACUGCGGAAUGGCAUUGGAUACUAUUCGGCUAGAGGGUUGGAGGGGGGACUGGAAUUCUCGGUGUAGCAGUGAAAUGCGUAGAUAUCGAGAGGAACACCAGUGGUGAAGACGGCGCCCUGGGACAUUACUGACGCUGAGAUGCGAAAGCGUGGGGAGCGAACGGG